GCUGUCCCCGCGGUGUCCCCACAGAACUUCUCGGACUACGACGUGUGCAGCAUCCUGCUGGGGACAUCCACGCUGCUCGUCUGGGUCGGUGUCAUCCGGUACCAGACCUUCUUCCAGAAAUACAACGUGAUUGACAAUGGGGACACACCUGGGGACAGCUGGGGACACUCCUGGGGACAGCUGGGGACAUGGACAGGGUUAAAUCCCAUUUUUCCUGCCCAAAAUCCUCUUUGUGACACUUGGGGUGGGGACAGUUCCCAUUUUCCCGCCCCAAAUCCCCAUUUUCCCGCCCCAAAUCCCCAUUUUCCCACUCCAAACUAAAUAUUGGCUUUCAUAUUAGCCUGCUUUAUUACUUAAAAUAGUUGAAAAGCCUAAAAGCCUUUUAUACAACUGAUAUAUUAGAUUUUUUUUUUUUUCUGGGGACUCCUAACUAAACCACUCAAUUUCAUUUUUUCUCUGUUGCAAGCCUCAAUCUCUUGUGCUUUGCUCGACAGGAAUUCUCCUUGCUCCCCAUGUAAAAUAGACAUAAUUUAAAGCCACUUUGUCUUUCUGAAUUUUAGAGUUACUUCUCACCACAGCAGUGUCGUUGCAGCUGUGAUUCAGAGAUGUGUUUAAAGAUGUAAGAGUGGCAGGUUUUGUGUUCACACUUGGCUCUCAAAUUUUGCAGUCUAUGGACAAAUAGAGGGAGUAGCUGCCUUUUCUGAGGAAGAAGAGCUAUAGAAUUAUUUUACAGAGAAUAAUGCUAAUUAAUUCUGCUUUAUUUUUUUAAAAUUAUUUGGAAAUUAGUGUAUAUGGUGGAUCUAAUACGCCAGCAGAGAAGUAGAUAUUCCUCACUUCUCUCUGUAUUUUAACCUACCUGAGGAUGUUUUGUGACACAGCCAUAAUGGCAGCAGGUGUUAUAGUCUUGUGUUAAUGAUGUUUGAUUAAAACAUCCCCCAGCAAGCUCUUACUGUGAUGGAUUUUAUCAGUGCUGUUUGGUAAGAGGGUCCCCACAUGGGCCUGGACACCAGAACAGUUUGAGAAGUCUCUUGUUUUCAAUAACCUGGGGAUUUUUUGGAGGAAGGGUGGAGGAGGAGGUGGGCUGUGAACUGCAGCUUGAAGCUGCUCUGUCCAAGUGAGGGCUGUUAGAGAUGGAAAUCUGGUAAGAAAAGGGUGCCUGGGAUGAACCAAACAGUUCAUCCCAAACAUGAGGAGUUGCAGGGGAGGUUGAGGGCACUCAUCAGAUUGCCAGGGAGAUCAAAAUGCUUCGAAUCCUCUUGACUAAGAAAAGCGUUAAGUCUCAACAUUAAAAAUAGAUGCUUUUUAUCUUGUAUAUGAUACAAAAUCUCUUGUGAUAUGGUAUUUUUCUAUUAUACUUUAGCAGCUUUGAGGAGUCGUGGAUUAGGCCUGUAUCACAACAGUAAUUCACAGGAGGCUGUGUUUUGUCUUGCUGUGACACCAGCUACUAUUGUUUUUGAUCUGCAGCCUCUGAAGAGGGAUGGUGCGUCUUCUGUGGGAGGUGUUGUGAGUGCAGAUUAGUUAGACAAGUGCUGGAGUGAAUGCAUAAGUAGUGAUUUUGCAUAAUGAGGUAUGUGAAAUCCCAGUGGAGGUUGUUAAAACAGAUAGACAGCCUGUGGUAAACAACAAGGAAGGUAGGCUUUGAAAACAGAUGGCUUUGAAAACCUGGCAAAUGACUGUUCCAUACUUAAAAAUCAGUUUUGUUAGUGGAAAAUAUCUUAUUUAAAAAAAAAAAAACCCAAACCAAAACAAACAAACAAAACUGAAAAUGCUUAGGCUGCGUAUUUUCACGAACCUGAAUGUGUUAAUAAAGUUGUGUGGGGAGCCAUCCAUCAUCUGUGUUUCCUGCCACACGUGAGUGUGAGCGAUGGGCUGCCCAGCUCACUGUGUUCUGCAGUGAUCCAUCAGCUUUCCCUGUGCAGCUGCUCCUACCUGGUGGGUAUGUUGCUCUUCAUUAUCACUUGGACUCUCUCUGUGGCAGUACUUUUCAUUGGCAAUCUAAUCGUGCACUCAGAGGUUUAAUUUGUCUUGAAAGACAGAGUCUAUGAGUGAAAUGGGAAUACAGAGGAAUAUUUCUGCUGGUUGGAAAGGGCACUGAAAGGCCCAUUGCCAUUUGAAUGACGACAUUGCUAAGGUUGGGGCUGGCCAGGAGAUGAGAUGCUGUUUUGGAACUUUAAAAUGGAGCUGUUUUCCAUGGCUUUUACACCUCUGGCACAGGCAGCAGGAGGUGUGAGACUUGAGACCGACCUUCUUGUCCCAUGGUUGUUGUAGGCCCAGUGAGACACCGUCACUCUGGCUGUCACCUGCCUGGGGAUCACACUCUGUUCUCUCCUGCAGGCUGAACUGGGACAGUAGCAGCUCCAAAGCAGUUCCUGCAGUGUGCCAGAGGCCAGCUCAGGGGCUCACUCUCCAGUGCUGACACUGUUAAAGACCUUCCCCAUAGCCUGAACAUGAGACCAUUUCAGUCAAAACAAGGAAAGGCCAGGGCUCUGUGGGCUUGAUUGAAAGAUAGUGCAAGUGGUCCAGUUCCCCUUUGGAAAAGAUCCCAAAUGCAAACAGGGGAAUCCUCUGUCCCCAACCUCUGCUGGAAAAAAGGCAAGUUCCUACGAUUUAAGAAUGAGAAAGCUAGAAGUGUUGGUUUUUCUUGGGGGGAAAAAAAAAAAAAAGGGACUAACAAACCUUGAUUUUUUGAUUCCUUGUCAGGACUUUGACUUUAAGCUGUGUCUGCAGAUGGAGAUCACUGAGUGAGCAGCAGCUGAAACGUCUGACAGGACAGGAAACUGGUUUUUCUUUCUGCUUGGAGAGAAACCUUUGCUACAGGGUGGCUGAUCAGAGCACAGAGUUCCUGUUGCUUCUAUGAUGAGUUGUCUGGGUUCUCCCCUGUUGGUGUUGUACCUACAAUUAAGGCAUUUCCAGAGCUCUUCCAGGCCCUGGACCACCCUCAGCAUCAUGUUUUAAAAGCUCUUCUUUUUUCCCUAUUUUUCCAAAGAGGCCUGCUUUUCAUGAAGUAACACUGCCAAAUACAUUUUUCAAAAGCACUUCAGAAGAAAAUGUUCUCUUCACAUUGAAGGUCCUUUUCCUAAAAAUAGCUGUUGGUCUGUGAAGGUGCCUGGGACUGAAAGGCAGUACAAUUCCAGUGUGUAAGCUUUCCCAAGGACUGACUCAGCAGAGGAGGGACUAAGGAUUUCCCUCUAUUUAUUUUUUCUUGACCAAACAAUAGUGCAGGAGGAUUCAGGAAGAACAUCUCAGGGCUGAAUCUUUUUUUCAAAGGAAAAAAGAUGUCCUUGAAUUUCCUGAGUGCCAUGAGUCCCAAAGGACUGUUUUGAUGGUGGCAAGACAUUUCCAUGGAUGGCACUGCUGGCUCCAGGCCUGGUGAAUCCCUGCUGCUCUGGAAAUUCCUCAGUGCUUGUCUCACACUCAGCCCAGUGCUGCAGGCUGGGCUCCUCAGGACCUGGGGUUGGGGGUAACACAGAGCUCCAUGGCUGCUACACUUGUGCUCUGCCAGCUGGCUUAUUCUUCUGUUUGUAUUGCUCCUGCUUGCAACUUGGCAUCACGUCUGGGAGCUGGGUUUUGAGUUCUGGUUGCUUUUUUUUUGAUGUUGCUAUCAAGGCAGAUAUAUUUUCUUUUCCUUGUACACUAUAGAAAAACCUAAAGCUUCUUAAAAAAAAAAUUUAAAGCAAUUCAGCUUUUUGAAACUGCAUAAUUGAAGAACUCUGAAAUAAUUGGCUUAUUAUAGUGCACCCAUAAAAAUGAAUUUGCAUCUCAUUUAUGAACUAUUAGAUUCCUUAUUACAUGCAACUGAUUGUUCUUAAUGUGACUUGCAUAUAAUUUAGCAUUCUUUACUCAUACAUUUUGUAGCUAAACACUGGGGGAGGGAAGUUCAUCCCAAAAUCAUAGCAGCAGAAUGUAGAUUGCAGAGCAGCCUCAGACUGAUCUUGCAUGAAGUGCUCUCACUUUGUCUCUAUUCCCCUCACAGUGCUGAGGUGCAGAAACCCCAGAUCAGAAACUGAUUUUUUCCUGGCCUCUUCCCAGAGCUCAGUCUGGGUGUGCUCUCACCUGAGCUCACCUGAGUGACAGAGGGCAGGCAGGGACCUGGUGCUCAGAGCCUUUGGAUGUGGGUGAGGAUUGCUGAGCAAACACUUCCCAGCUGCUGGGCUGGGACAUCCUCAUGGAUCCAAAAUGCUGGAAUCACUUCCCUCUGUUCCUACCAGAGCAUUCCUUCAUGGAUCCAAAAUGCUGGAAUCACUUCCCUCUGUUCCUACCAGAGCAUUCCCUACCUCAGAAACAGGACACCAACCCAGCCUGGAAUCACUGAAUCACAGGAAUCCACAGGAAUCUCUGCUUCCACUGUGCUUCCAGCAGCAUUCCUCUGUCUGAGCAUGGCUUUCGGUGCUCAUAAAGCCCAGCCUUGCUAUCCAUGACUCCAUUUGGACUCAGAGGAAGGGCAAAACAAAAGAACAAAAAUGAAGCAAAAUAUAGGGGUCACCUUAUAGAACUGAAGAGGAUUCUGGGUGGAUGAGUGAAGAAAAAAUAUCACAAAGCUGAAGGGAAAGUGGCAAGUAGGCACCUUGAAUGAAAUUCUGCAAAAUUACUGAACAGCAAUUUCAGAAUAUUUCAUUUACUGUAGAAAGUGGCAAAAGAAAGUGCAAGCUCAUUUCAAUAGAUACAAGAAACGCUGUGGUCUUCAUAAGAGAUGUUAGCCUCUCUUUGGGCACAGGAAAUUAAGAAACCACUGGUGGCAAGUAUUCACCAGGAGCAAGUGUAGUGAGCCUUGGGUCGUGGGUUUGAGUAUCAGUGGCUCCCAAAACAGGUGGACACUCCUGUGGGCAUUUUCUUCAGAAAGCACAUGGAGAACUGAGAUUUUGGAUUGUGUGGUUUAAUCCAGUGCAUGAUCCUGCUGGUUUUUUAAGGGUAGCAAGUGAGCAGGACACCAGGUGAGGUAAGGAGAAGAAAUUAUGGAUCAAAAAUUGUACAAAGACAUUAUGAUCCUUCAGACAAAAUAAAAUAUGUACAAUUCUAUUCUGUUCUGAGGAGGAACUAGCAGUGUUGGCAGCAGCAACAUCAGAAGAGUGCUGACAUGCUUUGUAUUUUAUUUGCCUUUCUUCUGGAUUGUCAGUGUUCUCUGAAUCUCUGUUCAGCAGCACAGUAAAUACAGCCAGAAACAAAUGAGGCAGUAAUUCCAGGGAGGCAGAAAUGAUCCCUGUGCUCUUCUAAUCCUGCCCUUACAGUAAUUUUGGAGAAAUUAAAUGUGGGUUCAGAUAUGUGGAUGCACUGCAUCUUUUCAGAGCUCCCAUUUUGUGUAGGGAAAUGAUUCCCUUUAUAUAUUAAAGCAUCUCAGAGUGUGUCCAUGCCAGUCCAGGACAUCUCUGGGCUGUCAGAAGCUGUGAGAGGAGCAAUUUCUCGCAGCCUGACUUUGGGGCUGGAGCUGCUGCAGUACGUGGUGCAGCAGAGGAGGUUCUGCAUGCCCUGGGAGCCAGACCUGUCCCCUGUAGCUGCUACCUGAGCCCAUUUCUGCCCCUUCAUCCUCUCACUCGUGGUCCUGAUGUGGUCACAGAGGGUUUGACACCCCAGAACCCGUGGAAGGUUGCGAUGAGGUUUCGGAGUUCACGGGUUAAGCAGAGCUGAUCUGUGAGCUUUGCUGAGGCAGGUGCUCUGCUGCCCUGGCCUUUGAAGGAUAAAAGUGUUAUCCAGACAAAUCCAUGCUGCUUUUCAAAGCAGCAAGUCUGUGUGCAGCACAGCUGGGGGCUGGGAGCAGGGCUGCUGGCAGGGCAGGGAAGGGAAGAGCAGCCUGCUGUUUUCUUUAGGAGAAGAGGUGGAAAUACAUUUUUCAAAGCAGCUAGGUUGUUUUGUAAAUGGCUGGUUUUAAUGCCCAAAUAAAUGUGUUUUCAGUUGGUUUCCACCUCAGAAGGUAGAUUCUAGGUGCAAUUUAAAAGAUCCCUUUCAGCUUUUUCUAGGUGGCAAUCAAAAGUGCCCAUCAUCUUGGCUCACACAUUCUAAUUCUGCGAUGUAAACUUGUAGUUUUGAGGGAGGAGGAAGUCAGUGUGGAGUCAAGCUGUAAGAUCUACUCCCUCUUUUCCCCUUCUAUUUUUGGUGUAUGUUAUUUGCUCAUGUUUUGCAAACACUGCUGUUUGUUUUUUAAAGCAUACAUUUAAAGGACACAUGAUGAUUACCAAUAAACUAAAUUAAAAGGGCAAAAGCUGGAGAUAGUAGAGGGAAGUUCAUAAACCUUGUCACCAUGUUAAUUACUCAGCACUGAGUGCUUUUCACUGCAGCACAUCACACCUAGACACAAUGCUGAUUAUCUGUGCAGGAGGCUGUUUUGGCAUGCUGAAGGAAAACACUGCUAUGUCUUGCUAAUUUGAUUUUAAUAUCUGUGCCAUGCCUUUCUUGGGCCUAGAAAUUAGCUUGCUUUUUACUAAUAUAAUUGGCUAAUUACAACAUCUUCUGUAGGAGAUGGGGAGAUACCCACAGCCCUUAUGGGAUUUGGAACAUACUAAAGUAAACAGAUGACAGUUCCUGAUCCAACAAGAGCUCAUUUAGAGCACAAAGAAAGGAAUACAGCCACUGCAAUUUUCUUAAUAAGUUUUUUGAGGUUAUUGAGGGUCCAGUCUUUGGAAUGGAGAUGGAAACACUGGAACAUGGAGGACACAGCCCUGUAGGACUUCUGUGGCAAUAAGGAACAUGUAGUUACAAUCCAUUCUGCAAGUUUGCACUAUUUUGUAUGUUUAAUCAUUUUAAGUUCCCUACCUGUGGCCAGAAGAUGUAAAGAAGAGAAGAAAGUUGCACCAAAACAGUCUCCCUUGGUCCCAGUAACUAAAAUAUUCUAGGUUUUGCAAUGUGAUCCUGCAGUUUUGGUGUUUCCUUCCUUACCUGCUCCCACUUAUGGUAACCACUCACCUGGAGUGAGUCCCUGGGAGGGAAACAACCCUGGCUAGAGCCACUGAUUUCAUCUCCCACUGCCUAGAGGUGAUAAGGGGUGGACAGAUGAGGAAGGGACAAGUGUUACCUCUGCCAUAAUGGUGAAGAUGGAGCAGUAACUUUGAAUAAAUAGAUCACCUUCCUGUCCUGAUCCCAGCUCCAGCAGUCACAGCCUCCUUUCCCCAGGAUGCUCACUGGAUUCCAUCCUCACACAGUCUCCUUCAGACAGGACUCGAGGAGAAGUCCUAUCCUAGACAAUCAAUCGUUGAGCCUGGAAAGAGUUUGAGAGACUUAUGCUAAUCAUAUUUAAUUAAUGUGUGCAAAUGAUUCUAACUAAAUGUAGACUUCCCUUAGUAUCUUCAAUUAAAAGCUCUGGAUGUACUCCAGAGUUACAAAUUCCUUCACUAAGCCAGUAGGGAAUGAUAAUGAAUUAUUGCUAAUAUAGUCAUAAAGCUUUUAUUUGCAUAAGUAAUAUGAAGCUAAUGUGUGGAUAAAAUUAAACUUGAAAAUGAAAUAUUAUUAAAACAAAACCGUUAAUGAAUUUGGACACAUUACUGAGCAGGUAUAUUUGGCAGCUGGCUGGAACAGAUAACUCCAAUAGAAGUCUAGCAGAAUCAAAAUCAAUAUUGAAUAUUGCAUAACACAGUGCAGAUAGUCAGGCAAGUUAGAUGUGCUCAUUGUCUCAGUUCUGAUGUGCUUCAUCAUUGUUUGCUUUUGCAAUCAUAACCAAGAGAAGGUGUCAGGAGGAGAACCAAAUCCUUGGAUUUGACUAUUUCAUACUGAUUUUUACUGUUUUAAUUAGACUGGCUUGAGAGAAGAUGAAUAAAUAUUGAAGUUUGUAUGUCAUGUUAUAAGUAGAUGGUGUUCACACAUGCUGCUUAUACCAGCAGGAUGGGCUGUUACCAUGUUUAGAAUCUUAACUACCAAGGCUGGAUGUUUUUCUUGAAAUAAUUCACUGAAUACUUCUUACUCUUUCAUACUGCAGAAGGCUUUCCUCAAUCCCCUGUGGAUAUGUUAGUGCUGGGCUGCAGCAGUUUGGAUUUCUUUUGUUUACUAUUUUAGUUUGGAGGAAUUACUCUGAACUAAAACAAUCUUAAGAGCAGGGUAGUAUCAGAUGGUGGAACUCAGUCUGAAAUAGGAAGUUCUGCCUCUGUAAUAACCUGUAGAAAUGUGCCUCUCACACAGCUCCUUCACAUGGGCUCAGCUUCCCUGUGGGUUCCUCUGCAGAUGAUAGGCAUAAAAAGAUGAAGAGAAUUGUAAUGAUUUGCUUGAAAAGAAGACUAAAAUUUGGGGAGUAUGAUGAAAAUCAGCUCCAGCUUAAGCUGUAUUUUUCUUUGGAGUAGUUCUUCAAAGGAGUACAGUGUCAAAAUCAAAAGACAUGGCAAGGGUAUGUUGUCUAUUACUGUACAUAAGCAAACAGAUGGUUUACUUUUUCUCCUCUUUUAAAUAUGUAACUUCUGUGGUCUCAUUAUGUCUCUUGGAAUGGUUUCAGAUAUCGAUUUAGUUUGCAAAACUGAGUUAAUUCAAUAAUAGCUAUAUCCCAAUUUCAAAUCUAUUAGAAAUAUCACUUGCCAGAGGAUCCAAUGGUUUACUUGACUGUCAAUAAUAGAAUUGCAUAAGCCAUAAAUCACUUUGGACUCUUGAACAAGAUCACAUUUCUCUGUACCAGGGCCAGUGCUGGUGGUAUUAGCUGCUGGGAGCUGUGGGAGCUUUCCUGCUGCUUUUGAGGGAGUUUCAUUUUCUCAUGGAGUGAUUCCCUCCCAGCAGCUGCUUCUAAAGUUUAUCCUUUUCCUCCUUUGUCCCACUCAACCCUUGCUGCCAGAAGGAGAGAUUUGGGUCCUUGCUGUUGGUUUCAGGUGUAUGCUCAUUGCUUCUUUAUUUUCCCUCCUCUUUUUUGCUCUUUGUUGUUUAGGAUGUUCAUUUCUACUCUGCCUCAAGGAAUAUAAAAUACAGAUAGACAAAUACUUUCUUUUCUUUUGCUAACUGUAACUAACUGUUCUGCCCAGAACAAUAUUUCCUAACCUGGUUUGUCUCUCACAAUGAAGUAUUUCAUACAAGCCCUUCUGAGAAAUAAAACUAUCCCUGAGAACCUAAUUUUUUAGACAAAGGUACUGAAUAAGGUGCAAUUUGUAGGUUUUAGAAACCCAAGGGAGACACAGUGUUAUCAGUAGCCUUCCUAGAACACUGAUGGUUUUUAUAAUUCCAUCUGUUAUUAGUUCAAAGCAUGAUUGUUUCCUUAAUCUGCAGUACUCAGCCCCGUUGGGUGCCCUGACACAAAAGCACUUGCUUGAACCUGUUUGUGUUUGAUGAAGCAACACUUCUGUAGCAAACUCUCAUGGAAAAUUAGUUGAUCUCAAAUAUCUGCACAAGGUGUUGCCAUUUCUACAGAGUGGGCUUUGGGGAUGUGCUCUGCCUUCCUAAUUAAUGAUAAUUUUCAACACAGUGCAAAGAACCAAAGAAGGACUCGAUGCACACACAGUUCUCCUGUUUCAUGGACAUCUGAAAUGUUCCACUUUGCAGCCAGCCUGGCUCCAGGGGGUUGAGCCACAGCCUCCUGGCUCUUUAAUAGCAUCCAAGUGCUGGGCUCAACUCACGUGUUGUGGCAUGAGAAAAUUGGCAAAUGUAAAUAUUGGCAAACAUAAAAUUGGCAAAUGUCUUUUUCCUUCCCUGUGGGAUCUGAAAUAGGUUGGGGUAUGUGAAUUGGGCCUGGCUUUACACACAGGAAACAAGCACCAGGAUCUGAACUGGGACAGUGAACUGAGGACAGCCCUUGGCUGCCAGGACAGGCAGUGCAGUCAGCCCUGUACCAAUUUCAAGGUGUUUUACAUUGUAGAUUUUACAUUUUAUGUCAAUGGCAGCUGCUCAGGAUGUGGGAGUGGCGAUUUUUAAUGUAGAAGAAGGGGAGAAGAUUUUCCAAGCUCUUUAGGGGUCCUCUCACUUCUCUAACAGUAACAGUAGGGGCAGCACUGAAAAAUACAGCUUAGUUCAUCCUAGGCCCAAAUCUGAUAAGGGAUGAUGCUGGUUUGAGGGUUGGAUUCAGUUACCUUGAAGGUCUCUUCCAGCCUUGAUGAUGCUGUGAUCCCACUGAGCUGCCACUGGUGAGGUCAGCCUGGCUGUUGGGUUCUUUGGGCCUUGGUGUUCUGUUUUGUUCUGUUUUUAUUUGCUUGUGUUGGCACUGAUCUCUGGAAGACAGUAAAAAUAUUUAUUCAGCACAAGCAGGGUGACAGAUAUCUCUUGUAUGAAGAACUAUUUGAUGAGCUGUUAGUUUUGAGUGCCUUUCCUAUUCAUUGAACUAAUUAGCUCUACAAAUCUUGCUGUCAACCAGUCAUAUAGCCACUUAUUUAUUUCCCCAUGUGCAGAGUUUUUACUUUGCUGCAUAUACACAGAGCUGUAAAACCAAAUGCACCAAAAAUUGUCUCUUAGUUGGAUCUAAAUGGAAACAAAAUACACUUGGAAUUAUUAUUACAUGUACCAUUAAUUUUUAUUUGAACUGUCUUAUAAAAAUGCCAAGCUGUUUUCAUUGUUUUUCACUGUUGCACUCAUGUAAUGAGUGUAAUGCUCAUUUCCUGCAUUACUGGGAGAGAAUGAAAAUGCCUGUGUGUGGGACAGGGAGAAAUAGAGGCUUUAGUGCUGACCACAUGGGCACCUGGAGACUCCAGCUGUCACUGACUGCUAUGGUUCUUUAAAAUUACUGCUUGGUUUUAACUUCCUCUUGUGCUUUCUCUCCUUCUGCAAGCUUUGUUUUUUUCAUUUCUUUUUCCCCACAGCCUUUUAGACAUCCCAGUGAGCAGAGUUAAGCAUUUAAUGCAGAUUUCAAACUCAUGCCAGUGCAGCAUCCAGCCUGGGCUCUGCUGUGCUCAGUCCCAGCAAGCCUGGCUGCUGCUGGCAGUGACAGUGCAGAGGACAUCCUCAUGAAAGAGAUGCAGAAAAUGUGCUUUGUGGGAAAGAAAAACCUGAGUUAUGUGAUUCCUGGCACAAAUAUCUCUGGUGAUUUGAUUGCUGUGGCGUUUCUGAUUCGGGGACAGUAUCAUGUGGGCUCUGGAGACACAGCAGUAUCUGGACCCAGGAAGUGAAUGAGCACCCUGUGAAAUGCAGCCAGAUGUUUUAUAGCUGCACAGUUGCCUUCUAAAAUUGUCUGUAAUCCCUGGAAGUUUUGUGAUGUAAUGGCCAACUGGAAUUAUGCUGCCUAUGGAAAGAGUUUUUCCAUUUUGUAACCUGAUAUUUCCAAAGUAAUCACUGCCAAGAUUCCUCUUCAACAUAUGCAUAUAUAUAUAUAUAGGUGCUGUAAAAUACUCAGCUCCUCACAACUUCUGAAGAGGAGAAAAAGAUUCAGUUUGGUGAGAUAAAUGGAAAGAUUUUGCUAGAACUGUGUGGGCUUUUGAUCCAGGAAUUAACCUGAAAGGCAUUGAGACAUGCCUAAGGAAAUUUGUUUUAGAAGGAAAUACAUACCACAUUAGAAUAGAUUACAAGGUAAUGGGGUUUACUAAAGUGGAGUUUGAGAGUUGAAACUGGAGUGGUCUUUUAGUCCAUGAUGGCUGCUCAUUUAUUGUAAUAGUAAGUUUACAGAACCUACAGUAAGAGACUAUAAAAGAUGUAACUUUUUAAAAUUAUGCUGUAAACCCCAAGAAUUCCUCUGUAUCCAGUUUAAAGGAAGCGUGGCAUUAUGUUAAAAACAUGUGUCCUUACAGACUCUUCCUCAGGGUGACAAAUCUCAGUGGUGUCAUUUUCCAGAUGUGUUUGAUUAUAAGUCAUGCUUUUACUUCAAAUUGUAGGAAGCUGAGUGUUCAGGUUUAUGCUUAUCUUUGAGUUUUAAUUCAACUUAUGGCACAUGUAAUAUUUUCUUUAGUCCUAGCACGUCGUUGUCAACUCUACAGAGUAUAUUUUAGUAGAGUUUUGAAACAUUUCUUUGGUAGUAAGCACUUCUGUCUUGGCAAUAUUAGAAAUGCUUUUCCAUAUCAGCAGCAGUGCAUGAAUGCUGAACACUCACUGGAGAAUUGGGCUGGGUGUUGAGAGAGAUUCUAAUUCAAAAAAGCAAAUGCAUUACUGGUAAUCGUAUUUGGGAAGUUAAUGUAAUAAAAUUAAGAAUUAGUCAUC